UACGUAGGCAGCAAGCGUUGUUCGGAGUUACUGGGCGUAAAGGGUGUGUAGGCGGUUGUUUAAGUUUGGUGUGAAAUCUCCCGGCUCAACUGGGAGGGUGCGCCGAAUACUGAAUGACUAGAGUGCGGGAGAGGAAAGUGGAAUUCCUGGUGUAGCGGUGAAAUGCGCAGAUAUCAGGAAGAACACCCGUGGCUAAGGCGGCUCUCUAGUACGGUACUGACGCUGAGACGCGAAAGCGUGGGGAGCAAACAGG
rnacentral:rRNA from 1 species